rnacentral:rRNA from 1 species
GGAAUUUUGGACAAUGGGCGCAAGCCUGAUCCAGCCAUGCCGCGUGCGGGAAGAAGGCCUUCGGGUUGUAAACCGCUUUUGGCAGGAACGAAACGGCGCGGGCGAAUACCUCGCGCUAAUGACGGUACCUGCAGAAUACGCACCGGCUAACUACGUGCCAGCAGCCGCGGUAAUACGUAGGGUGCAAGCGUUAAUCGGAAUUACUGGACGUAAAGCGUACGCAGGCGGCCAUGCAAGAUAGGUGUGAAAUCCCCGGGCCUAACCUGGGAACUGCAUUUGUGACUGCAUGGCUAGAGUCUGUCAGAGGGGGGUGGAAUUCCACGUGUAGCAGUGAAAUGCGUAGAGAUGUGGAAGAACACCGAUGGCGAAGGCAGCCCCCUGGGAUAAGACUGACGCUCAGGUACGAAAGCGUGGGGAGCAAGC